GACGAACGCUGGCGGCGUGCUUAACACAUGCAAGUCGAACGGAAAGGCCUGCUUUCCCUUGUGGAUUGCGGGUACUCGAGUGGCGAACGGGUGAGUAACACGCGCGUGAUCUGCCCACACCUUGGGUAUAAGCCUGGGAAACUGGGUCUAAUUCCCGUUAGGACUGCAGGGUGGUGCCUGUGGUUGGAAUCGAUUUUCUCGUGGUUGGGGAUGAGCUCGCGGCCUAUCAGCUGGUUGGUGGGGUAAUGGCCUACCAAGGCGGCGACGGGUAGCCGGGCGGAGAGGGUGGGCGGCCACAUUGGGACGGAGAGACGGCCCAGACUCCAACGGCAGGCAGCAGUGGGGAAUAUGGCACAAGGGGCGGAAGCCGGAUGCAGCGACGCCGCGUGGGGGAUGACGGCCUUCGGGUGGUAAACUCCUUUCGGCCGCGAGGAAGCCACCUGGUUGGAAGGGUGGUGACGGUAGUGGUAGAAGAAGCACCGGCUAACUACGUG
rnacentral:rRNA from 1 species